UACAGAGGGGGCAAGCGUUGUUCGGAAUUACUGGGCGUAAAGGGCGCGUAGGCGGCCUUCUAAGUCGAACGUGAAAUCCCCGGGCUCAACCCGGGAACUGCGUCCGAUACUGGAAGGCUUGAAUCCGGGAGAGGGAUGCGGAAUUCCAGGUGUAGCGGUGAAAUGCGUAGAUAUCUGGAGGAACACCGGUGGCGAAGGCGGCAUCCUGGACCGGCAUUGACGCUGAGGCGCGAAAGCCAGGGGAGCAAACGGA
rnacentral:rRNA from 1 species